ACGCUGAAGAGAGGAGCUUGCUCUUCUUGGAUGAGUUGCGAACGGGUGAGUAACGCGUAGGUAACCUGCCUUGUAGCGGGGGAUAACUAUUGGAAACGAUAGCUAAUACCGCAUAACAAUGGAUGACACAUGUCAUUUAUUUGAAAGGGGCAAUUGCUCCACUACAAGAUGGACCUGCGUUGUAUUAGCUAGUAGGUGAGGUAACGGCUCACCUAGGCGACGAUACAUAGCCGACCUGAGAGGGUGAUCGGCCACACUGGGACUGAGACACGGCCCAGACUCCUACGGGAGGCAGCAGUAGGGAAUCUUCGGCAAUGGGGGCAACCCUGACCGAGCAACGCCGCGUGAGUGAAGAAGGUUUUCGGAUCGUAAAGCUCUGUUGUAAGUCAAGAACGAGUGUGAGAGUGGAAAGUUCACACUGUGACGGUAGCUUACCAGAAAGGGACGGCUAACUACGUGCCAGCAGCCGCGGUAAUACGUAGGUCCCGAGCGUUGUCCGGAUUUAUUGGGCGUAAAGCGAGCGCAGGCGGUUUGAUAAGUCUGAAGUUAAAGGCUGUGGCUCAACCAUAGUUCGCUUUGGAAACUGUCAAACUUGAGUGCAGAAGGGGAGAGUGGAAUUCCAUGUGUAGCGGUGAAAUGCGUAGAUAUAUGGAGGAACACCGGUGGCGAAAGCGGCUCUCUGGUCUGUAACUGACGCUGAGGCUCGAAAGCGUGGGGAGCGAACAGGAUUAGAUACCCUGGUAGUCCACGCCGUAAACGAUGAGUGCUAGGUGUUGGAUCCUUUCCGGGAUUCAGUGCCGCAGCUAACGCAUUAAGCACUCCGCCUGGGGAGUACGACCGCAAGGUUGAAACUCAAAGGAAUUGACGGGGGCCCGCACAAGCGGUGGAGCAUGUGGUUUAAUUCGAAGCAACGCGAAGAACCUUACCAGGUCUUGACAUCCCGAUGCUAUUUCUAGAGAUAGAAAGUUACUUCGGUACAUCGGUGACAGGUGGUGCAUGGUUGUCGUCAGCUCGUGUCGUGAGAUGUUGGGUUAAGUCCCGCAACGAGCGCAACCCCUAUUGUUAGUUGCCAUCAUUCAGUUGGGCACUCUAGCGAGACUGCCGGUAAUAAACCGGAGGAAGGUGGGGAUGACGUCAAAUCAUCAUGCCCCUUAUGACCUGGGCUACACACGUGCUACAAUGGUUGGUACAACGAGUUGCGAGUCGGUGACGGCAAGCUAAUCUCUUAAAGCCAAUCUCAGUUCGGAUUGUAGGCUGCAACUCGCCUACAUGAAGUCGGAAUCGCUAGUAAUCGCGGAUCAGCACGCCGCGGUGAAUACGUUCCCGGGCCUUGUACACACCGCCCGUCACACCACGAGAGUUUGUAACACCCGAAGUCGGUGAGGUAACCUUUNNAGCCAGCC
rnacentral:rRNA from 1 species